CAUUUCCCGAAGGUUGGACAGGAAUUUACAAACGGCGCAUAAUGAACGUGCACUCUGCCUAGCCGAACAUCAAUUGACGCUCGAUGACAGUAAUGGUGGCCAUUCUUCCCCAACCGGAUGUUGAUCGGUUCGAUGUGGUCCGAUCAAUGCGCGCGCAUGGCCGGAUGACCUUAAGGGACAGGGGAACCGGUAAAAGAUCAAGCACAUUCCUUACGGCAGAAGGCAGCCAACCCGCAGCCUCAACAUCAUCGGUCAUAUUUACAUAUUUACACAUUCAUUUCGCUUGUCACCAUGGCGACGGAUGUGCUUACAUGAUUGAGCCGUUUUAUGUUGCUCCACCAUUAGAAGCGUCCAGCGCCAGGCGGAACGUGAACUUUGGAAUGUGUUUAGAGGUCCAUUGAGCUUUACUUUGAGUGGAAUCUUUUCGCCAACUCGAUGCCACACUAUCAACAUCUCCACCCUGCGAUUCCGCAACGAUGCGUAGCAGCUAACCACGUUUGAUGGAUUACAAAGCGAGCCGGUAGAGGCGUGACACGCCGAAAUUUCACAAUGAUUGCAACGAUUUUUAAAUGGCUUCAUGAAAUUUUCACCACACACCGUAACCGCAAAUAUUUAACGCCGUUUCGAAAGGCUCAGAAAACGGUCAGAUUACUCCUCAUAAAUGGAAGCGAUUCGUGUUUUUCUCUACAGUGAAGGAGAUGUGUAAAAUAAAGGCAGCAGGCAGCACUUUUUGCAUCUGAUUUGUUGAUCAAUCCACCCCCUAAAACAUGUCAGUUGCGUUGCGGGAACUGUUUUGCAA